UGCCAAAAGAAGACACAUGUUUAAAUUUACUGCAAAAUAAGGCUUCAAAGACAGUUAAAAUACGGCGUUAGUGUUUUAAUUUUAUUGUAGACGAUAAGUUUUUAUUAGAGAAUUAAACUGAGUCAGUAUAGUUGAACGCGCCUAUAAAACCUAUUAUCUAUGUAUCAUAAGUAUAGAAGAAAUUUUGUCUGUGAGUUUCCGGUAAUCUUGUCUGUCAUCUUCUUUUCGGUAUUCGAGAAAACCGGAGAAGACGUUGAGCCAUGUCGAUAAUGUACUGUAUUUGCUGCCAAUAAGUGAAAACGAAACCCGAAGACUUGCUAAGAUGACAUCCUAAAAUUAUAUGGACGCGCUACUUAUUUCCAAAAAUGCUUCAGACGUGCUUGUCGAAAAAUUUACAGGGCGUAGGAUGCUAACAGUGUUUCAGGUUUCUAUUAAAACAAUGAAGUUGGAGAAGGUAAAUUAAAAGGACUGAGAUCACCCACACUUAUGUCUCUUGGAUGUAGAAAGGGUUAUCAUUUAACUUAUUAAAUGAACAAGGAAACAAAAAACAAAGAUUCCAAACGUGGAAAAUUGGAGCCCGGUUAAUGUUCCCUCCUCUUAGAUUUGAGAAGUGCAGUUUUUCGAGAACAAAUGAACCCAAAUUCACAUUGAUGUACUUAAAAAUAAAACUAGCACCGUAACAGUUAUCCUCGAUGUAAGUAAUUGCCAUAGUGGCAUCUAUGGUUUUUGUUCUCUUACAGUUAUCUAUUGCCCACAUCUACGAUUUUCUUCAAUCAAUUAUCUAUUGUGUACAAGCAUCUAUGGUUAUUUCUAUUGCCUUUAAGAUUUAUCAUUAUCUAUGGAUUUAUCUGUCUUGAAUAAAAUUGACAGCACAUCGCCAUUUUAUAAUUUCGUUAGUUUACUUGCUCUUUCGUAUUGUCCAAAUGGCGAGAAAGAGAGAAUUAAAGUUCAGAUUGAUGGUAUUCAAACAGCCAUUGUCUUGUCUUGAUUUGCUGUUUUCGUCUUCAACUUGCAACAUUAUGCAGUUAAUUUUCGACAGAUGAGUGAGAGCCAGACGAGAUUUAUAUGAAUUUCACUGGAACAAGUUUUCUGCUACGAUAUUCCUUCUGGAUUUAGUUUGCUUUUCACAAAUCCAAACUUGGGAAGUUUACAAUAGUCUUAUGUUUGCUAAGAUCGACGCUGGAGAAGACAAA